rnacentral:sRNA from 1 species
GGGCGCCUGGGCAUCUCCCUGACCCGCGUGUCGGACGGCGAGAAUGUCAUUAUAUCCCACUUCAACUCCAAGGACGAGCUCAUCCAGGCCAACGUCUGCAGCGGUUUCAUCCCCGUGUACUGUGGGCUCAUCCCUCCCUCCCUCCAGGGGGUGGUGAGUAUCUCUAGCCCUGGACACCGUCCGUGGGGUGGGCUGUGUGAUGAGGGACAGAGGAGGAGGCCACCUAGAGCCAUCCUUCAGGCCCUUGCUCUGCCACCGCCUGUUACCCCACUUCUCCUGUGUUACUCAAGAAACAGCUGUGGCGACGCACGCUUCCUGCCCCCCCAUCCCUUCCUCCGUCCCUGCCCUCCCCCGUCUACCAUCUGCUUAGUGCCCAGGCUGGCCCACAG